rnacentral:rRNA from 1 species
CCUACGGGUGGCAGCAGUGGGGGAUAUUGCACAAUGGGGGGAACCCUGAUGCAGCGACGCCGCGUGGGUGAAGAAGCGCCUCGGCGCGUAAAGCCCUUUCAGCAGGGAAGAAAAUGACGGUACCUGAAGAAGAAGCCCCGGCUAACUACGUGCCAGCAGCCGCGGGAAUACGUAGGGGGCAAGCGUUAUCCGGAUUUACUGGGUGUAAAGGGGGCGCAGACGGCGAUGCAAGCCAGGAGUGAAAGCCCGGGGCUCAACCCCGGGACUGCGCUUGGAACUGGGUGGCUGGAGUGCAGGAGGGGCAGGCGGAAUUCGUGGUGUAGCGGUGAAAUGCGUAGAUAUCAGGAGGAACACCGGUGGCGAAGGCGGCCUGCUGGACUGCAACUGACGUUGAGGCCCGAAAGCGUGGGGAGCAAACAGGAUUAGAUACCCCAGUAGUC